GGCAGCAGUCGAGAAUCUUCCACAAUGGACGAAAGUCUGAUGGAGCGACGCCGCGUGCGGGAAGAAGGCCUUAUGGGUUGUAAACCGCUGUCAGGGGGGAAGAACAUCAGGAUGACCAAUACUCAUCCUGACUGACGUUACCCCCAGAGGAAGCUCCGGCCAACUCCGUGCCAGCAGCCGCGGUAAUACGGGGGGAGCAAGCGUAGUCCGGAAUCAUUGGGCGUAAAGGGCGUGUAGGCGGCUUGGUAAGUCGAAUGUGAAAUCUCACGGCUCAACCGUGAAACUGCGUUCGAAACUGCUUUGCUUGAGUACGGGAGAGGUGUACGGAAUUCCUGGUGUAGCGGUGGAAUGCGUAGAUAUCAGGAAGAACACCGGUGGCGAAGGCGGUACACUGGCCCAGUACUGACGCUGAGGCGCGAAAGCGUGGGGAGCAAACAGGAUUAGAUACCCUGGUAGUCCACGCUGUAAACGAUGAGUACUAGGUUUUGGGGGUCUCAACCCCUUCAGAGCCGCAGCUAACGCAUUAAGUACCCCGCCUGGGGAGUACGGUCGCAAGGCUGAAACUCAAAUGAAUUGACGG
rnacentral:rRNA from 1 species